CGGAGGGAAAAGAAACCAACAGGGAUUGCCCCAGUAACGGCGAGUGAAGCGGCAGCAGCUCAAAUUUGAAAUCUGGGGCCCAUGGCCUCCGAGUUGUAAUUUGGAGAGGCAUCUUCUGGGGGGAGCGCCGGCCCAUGUUCCUUGGAACAGGACGUCACAGAGGGUGAGAAUCCCGUGCGAGGCAGGUGGCCUCCUCCCAUGUGGAGGGCCUUCGACGAGUCGAGUUGUUUGGGAAUGCAGCUCCAAGUGGGUGGUAAAUCUCAUCUAAAGCUAAAUACCGGCGGGAGACCGAUAGCGCACAAGUAGAGUGAUCGAAAGAUGAAAAGCACUUUGAAAAUAGAGUCAAAAAGUACGUGAAAUUGUUGAAAGGGAAGCGCUUGAGACCAGACUCGGGCCCGGGCAAACACCGCGCUCUUCGGGGCCGUGCAAUUGCCUGGGCCUGGGCCAGCAUCAGUUGGUGUGGCGGGACAAAGGGGCGGGCAAUGUGGCUCCCCACGGGGAGUGUUAUUAGGCCCGCCCUCAAUGCCGCCGACGUCGACUGAGGACCGCGCCUCGGCUAGGAUGCUGGGCUCAAUGGCCUUCAGCGACCCGUCUUGAAACACGGACCAAGGAGUCUAACAUCUAUGCGAGUGUUUGGGCGUCAAACCCUUGCGCGUAAUGAAAGUGAGCGG
rnacentral:rRNA from 1 species